rnacentral:rRNA from 1 species
AUUGAACGCUGGCGGCAGGCUUAACACAUGCAAGUCGAGCGGAGUGAUGGUGCUUGCACUAUCACUUAGCGGCGGACGGGUGAGUAAUGCUUAGGAAUCUGCCUAUUAGUGGGGGACAACAUCUCGAAAGGGAUGCUAAUACCGCAUACGUCCUACGGGAGAAAGCAGGGGAUCACUUGUGACCUUGCGCUAAUAGAUGAGCCUAAGUCGGAUUAGCUAGUUGGUGGGGUAAAGGCCUACCAAGGCGACGAUAUGUAGCGGGUCUGAGAGGAUGAUCCGCGACACUGGGACUGAGACACGGCCCAGACUCCUACGGGAGGCAGCAGUGGGGAAUAUUGGACAAUGGGGGGAACCCUGAUCCAGCCAUGCCGCGUGUGUGAAGAAGGCCUUAUGGUUGUAAAGCACUUUAAGCGAGGAGGAGGCUCUUUUGGUUAAUACCCAAGAUGAGUGGACGUUACUCGCAGAAUAAGCACCGGCUAACUCUGUGCCAGCCGCCGCCGUAA